rnacentral:rRNA from 1 species
CCUUGAACUAGGCAAAAUGGCACCGUAACUUCGGGAGAAGGUGCACCGCUUUUGGUGAUGGGAUUUACUCCCUAAGCUGAGGGCGGUCGAAGAUACCAGGCCCCUGCAACUGUUUAUUAAAAACACAGCACUCUGCAAACACGUAAGUGGACGUAUAGGGUGUGACGCCUGCCCGGUGCCGGAAGGUUAAUUGAUGGGGUUAGCGCAAGCGAAGCUCUUGAUCGAAGCCCCGGUAAACGGCGGCCGUAACAAUAACGGUCCUAAGGUAGCGAAAUUCCUUGUCGGGUAAGUUCCGACCUGCACGAAUGGCGUAAUGAUGGGGGCGCUGUCUCCACCCGAGACUCAGUGAAAUUGAAAUCGCGGUUAAGAUGCCGUGUACCCGCGGCUAGACGGAAAGACCCCGUGAACCUUUACUAUAGCUUUGCACUGAACUUUGAACCUAUCUGUGUAGGAUAGGUGGGAGGCUCUGAAGUCGAGACGCUAGUUUCGAUGGAGCCGUCCUUGAAAUACCACCCUGUAUGUUUGAGGUUCUAACGUCGGCCCCUUAUCGGGGUUACGGACAGUGUAUGGUGGGUAGUUUGACUGGGGCGGUCUCCUCCCAAAGAGUAACGGAGGAGCACGAAGGUGUGCUAAUCAUGGUCGGAAAUCAUGAGGUUAGUGUAAAGGCAAAAGCACGCUUGACUGCGAGACAGACAUGUCGAGCAGGUACGAAAGUAGGUCUUAGUGGUCCGGUGGUUCUGUAUGGAAGGGCCAUCGCUCAACGGAUAAAAGGUACUCCGGGGAUAACAGGCUGAUACCGCCCAAGAGUUCACAUCGACGGCGGUGUUUGGCACCUCGAUGUCGGCUCAUCACAUCCUGGGGCUGAAGCCGGUCCCAAGGGUAUGGCUGUUCGCCAUUUAAAGUGGUACGCGAGCUGGGUUUAGAACGUCGUGAGACAGUUCGGUCCCUAUCUGCCGUGGGCGUUGGAGAUUUGAGAAGAGUUGUUCCUAGUACGAGAGGACCGGAAUGAACGAACCUCUGGUGUUCGGGUUGUCAUGCCAAUGGCAUUGCCCGGUAGCUACGUUCGGACGGGAUAACCGCUGAAAGCAUCUAAGCGGGAAGCCUCCUUCAAGAUGAGAUCUCCCUGGGACUUUAAGUCCCCUAAAGAGCCGUUGAAGACUACGACGUUGAUAGGUUGGGUGUGGAAGCGCAGCGAUGCGUUGAGCUAACCAAUACUAAUUGCUCGUGCGGCUUGACCG